UACAGAGGUCCCAAGCGUUGUUCGGAUUCAUUGGGCGUAAAGGGUGCGUAGGUGGCGCCGUAAGUGGGGUGUGAAAUUUCGGAGCUUAACUCCGAAACUGCAUUCCAUACUGCGGUGCUUGAGGACUGGAGAGGAGACUGGAAUUUACGGUGUAGCAGUGAAAUGCGUAGAGAUCGUAAGGAAGACCAGUAGCGAAGGCGGGUCUCUGGACAGUUCCUGACACUGAGGCACGAAGGCCAGGGGAGCAAACGGG
rnacentral:rRNA from 1 species